AACGUAGGUGGCAAGCGUUAUCCGGAUUCACUGGGCGUAAAGCGCAUGCAGGUGGCCCAGUAAGUAGGGCAUGAAAACUCCUGGCUUAACUGGGAGAGGCUGUCCUAGACUGCUGAGCUUGAGGAUGGGAGAGGGAAGUGGAAUUGCCGGUGUAGUGGUGAAAUGCGUAGAGAUCGGCAGGAACACCCGUGGCGAAAGCGGCUUCCUGGCCCAUUCCUGACACUCAGAUGCGAAAGCUAGGGGAGCGAACGGG
rnacentral:rRNA from 1 species